rnacentral:lncRNA from 1 species
UUACUACCAAACUGAUAGAUUAAAACAAUCUUUACCAUUCAGUGAUAACAAGCACUUUUUUUACAUUUUAAUAUUUUAUGAUGUAUUUAAAUGAGUAGUUAUUGUUGCAAACUUCAUUAGAAAUUUGAAUUGAGAUCAGUUUUGAAAUAAGGGAAAGGGGGAUGUGAAAAAAAAAUUGGGGGGUCAAUUUUUUUCAUUUCAGAUUUCAUAAAUAAAAAGAAAAUUUCUUCAAACAUUUUUUUGAGAGAGGAUUAAUAUUCAACAGCAUAGUGAAUUGCUCAAAGGCAAAAAAAAAAUUUUUAAGUUCAUUAGACCACAUUCAUUCUGUGUCAGAAACCUAUGCUGUGUCAACUAUUUAAUCACAAUCCAAAUUUAGAGCUGAAUCCAGCUUGAAUGUUGUGUCCAUACUUGCCCCAACCGUUCAGGGUUCAACCUCUGCGGUCGUAUAAAGCUGCGCCCUGCGGAGC